CCUACGGGUGGCAGCAGUCGAGAAUCAUUCACAAUGGGGGAAACCCUGAUGGUGCGACGCCGCGUGGGGGAAUGAAGGUCUUCGGAUUGUAAACCCCUGUCAUGUGGGAGCAAAUUAAAAAGAUAGUACCCCAAGAGGAAGAGACGGCUAACUCGGGGCCAGCAGCCGCGGUAAUACAGAGGGCUCAAGCGUUGUUCGGAAUCACUGGGCGUAAAGCGUGCGUAGGCUGUUUCGUGAGUCGUGUGUGAAAGGCGCGGGCUCAACCCGCGGACGGCACAUGAUACUGCGAGACUAGAGUAAUGGAGGGGGAAGCGGAAUUCUCGGUGGAGCAGUGAAAUGCGUAGAUAUCGAGAGGAACACUCGUGGCGAAGGCGGGUUCCUGGACAUUAACUGACGCUGAGGCACGAAGGCCAGGGGAGCGAAAGGGAUUAGAUACCCCAGUAGUC
rnacentral:rRNA from 1 species